CCUACGUGGAGCAGCAGUGGGGAAUAUUGCACAAUGGGGGAAACCCUGAUGCAGCGACGCCGCGUGAGUGAAGAAGUAUCUCGGUACGUAAAGCUCUAUCAGCAGGGAAGAAAAUGACGGUACCUGACUAAGAAGCCCCGGCGAACUACGUGCCAGCAGCCGCGGUAAUACGGAGGGGGCAAGCGUUAUCCGGAUUUACUGGGUGUAAAGGGAGCGUAGACGGCAGCACAAGUCUGGAGUGAAAUCCCGGGGCUUAACCCCGGAACUGCCUUGGAAACUGUGGGGCUGGAGUGCAGGAGGGGUAAGCGGAAUUCCUAGGGUAGCGGUGAAAUGCGUAGAUAUUAAGAAGAACCCCGGUGGCGAAGGCGGCUUACUGGACUGUAACCGAAGUUGAGGGUCGAAAGCGUGGGGAGCAAACAGGAUUAGAUACCCCAGUAGUC
rnacentral:rRNA from 1 species